rnacentral:rRNA from 1 species
GUGCCAGCAGCCGCGGUAACACGUAGGGGGCGAGCGUUGUUCGGAAUUACUGGGCGUAAAGGGCAUGUAGGCGGUCUUGUAAGCUUGGCGUGAAAGACCACGGCUCAACCGUGGGAUUGCGUUGAGAACUGCGAGGCUUGAGUGACGGAGAGGGAGCUAGAAUUCCUGGUGUAGGGGUGGAAUCUGUAGAGAUCAGGAAGAAUACCAAUGGCGAAGGCAAGCUCCUGGCCGAUGACUGACGCUGAGGUGC